rnacentral:tRNA from 1 species
CCGCCCAUAGCGCAAUUGGAUAGAGCGUCAGAUUCCGAUUCUGAAGGCUGGGGGUUCGAGUCCCUUUGGGCGGGCCA